rnacentral:rRNA from 1 species
UACGGAGGAUGCAAGCGUUAUCCGGAUUCACUGGGUUUAAAGGGUGCGUAGGCGGGCAGGUAAGUCCGUGGUGAAAUCUCUGAGCUUAACUCAGAAACUGCCAUGGAUACUAUUUGUCUUGAAUGUUGUGGAGGUAAGCGGAAUAUGUCAUGUAGCGGUGAAAUGCUUAGAUAUGACAUAGAACACCAAUUGCGAAGGCAGCUUACUACACAAAUAUUGACGCUGAGGCACGAAAGCGUGGGGAUCAAACAGG